UUGUAAGCUAAUCAUAUAUUCCCUUUGGAUUGGGAAAUUAUUGAUGGAAGUUGGUAGCAAUAGGUAUUCUCAAUAGAGGCACCAUGAUAUCUCUUAGGAUUGAGACAAUGUGUCCCCUUGAGUGAUCCUAAGGAUAUGUGUUCAUGGAAACUAUGGCCAUAAUAGUUCCUUAAGUGGAACUGGAUAUAAGCUCUUUGAGAGCUAAGAUAUGUCAAUUGAACACAC
rnacentral:lncRNA from 1 species